rnacentral:rRNA from 1 species
CGUGGGGAACCGUGCCCCACUAGUCUGGGAUACCACUUGGAAACAGGUGCUAAUACCGGAUAAGAAAGCGGAUCGCAUGAUCAGCUUUUAAAAGGCGGCGUAAGCUGUCGCUAUGGGAUGGCCCCGCGGUGCAUUAGCUAGUUGGUAAGGUAAAGGCUUACCAAGGCGAUGAUGCAUAGCCGAGUUGAGAGACUGAUCGGCCACAUUGGGACUGAGACACGGCCCAAACUCCUACGGGAGGCAGCAGGG